CAGAGGAUAGUUUAAUGAAGAAUUCUAGCUUUGGGUGCUAGUGGUGGGAGUUUGAAUCUCUCUCCUUUGG
rnacentral:tRNA from 1 species